AACGAACGCUGGCGGCAUGCCUAACACAUGCAAGUCGAACGAGACCUUCGGGUCUAGUGGCGCACGGGUGCGUAACGCGUGGGAACCUGCCCUUAGGUUCGGAAUAACUCCCCGAAAGGGGUGCGAAUACCGGAUAAUGUCUUCGGACCAAAGAUUUAUCGCCUUUGGAUGGGCCCGCGUUGGAUUAGCUAGUUGGUAGGGUAAAAGCCUACCAAGGCGACGAUCCAUAGCUGGUCUGAGAGGAUGAUCAGCCACACUGGGACUGAGACACGGCCCAGACUCCUACGGGAGGCAGCAGUGGGGAAUAUUGGACAAUGGGCGAAAGCCUGAUCCAGCAAUGACGCGUGAGUGAUGAAGGCCUUAGGGUUGUAAAGCUCUUUUACCCGGGAUGAUAAUGACAGUACCGGGAGAAUAAGCUCCGGCUAACUCCGUG
rnacentral:rRNA from 1 species